CGGGUCCCGUGCGAUUUUCCGUCGUGAACCCUGUCAGGGCCGGAAGGCAGCAGCAGUAAGCGUCAGGUUGAUGUGCUGCGGGGCUGCCCG
rnacentral:SRP_RNA from 1 species